rnacentral:rRNA from 1 species
GUUGAACGCUGGCGGCGUGCCUAAUACAUGCAAGUCGAGCGAACAGACGAGGAGCUUGCUCCUCUGACGUUAGCGGCGGACGGGUGAGUAACACGUGGAUAACCUACCUAUAAGACUGGGAUAACUUCGGGAAACCGGAGCUAAUACCGGAUAAUAUAUUGAACCGCAUGGUUCAAUAGUGAAAGACGGUUUUGCUGUCACUUAUAGAUGGAUCCGCGCCGCAUUAGCUAGUUGGUAAGGUAACGGCUUACCAAGGCAACGAUGCGUAGCCGACCUGAGAGGGUGAUCAGCCACACUGGAACUGAGACACGGUCCAGACUCCUACGGGAGGCAGCAGUAGGGAAUCUUCCGCAAUGGGCGCAAGCCUGACGGAGCAACGCCGCGUGAAUGAUGAAGGUCUUCGGAUCGUAAAACUCUGUUAUUAGGGAAGAACAAAUGUGUAAGUAACUAUGCACGUCUUGACGGUACCUAAUCAGAAAGCCACGGCUAACUACGUG